AACGAGUUCUCGUUGAUGAUCGGUGCUUGCACCGAGAUUCAACAUGGAACGAGUGGCGGACGGGUGAGUAACACGUGGGUAACCUGCCCUUAAGUGGGGGAUAACAUUUGGAAACAGAUGCUAAUACCGCAUAGAUCCAAGAACCGCAUGGUUCUUGGCUGAAAGAUGGCGUAAGCUAUCGCUUUUGGAUGGACCCGCGGCGUAUUAGCUAGUUGGUGAGGUAAUGGCUCACCAAGGCGAUGAUACGUAGCCGAACUGAGAGGUUGAUCGGCCACAUUGGGACUGAGACACGGCCCAAACUCCUACGGGAGGCAGCAGUAGGGAAUCUUCCACAAUGGACGCAAGUCUGAUGGAGCAACGCCGCGUGAGUGAAGAAGGCUUUCGGGUCGUAAAACUCUGUUGUUGGAGAAGAAUGGUCGGCAGAGUAACUGUUGUCGGCGUGACGGUAUCCAACCAGAAAGCCACGGCUAACUACGUGCCAGCAGCCGCGGUAAUACGUAGGUGGCAAGCGUUAUCCGGAUUUAUUGGGCGUAAAGCGAGCGCAGGCGGUUUUUUAAGUCUGAUGUGAAAGCCCUCGGCUUAACCGAGGAAGCGCAUCGGAAACUGGGAAACUUGAGUGCAGAAGAGGACAGUGGAACUCCAUGUGUAGCGGUGAAAUGCGUAGAUAUAUGGAAGAACACCAGUGGCGAAGGCGGCUGUCUGGUCUGUAACUGACGCUGAGGCUCGAAAGCAUGGGUAGCGAACAG
rnacentral:rRNA from 2 species